GAGCCCAUGGCUCAAUGGUUAGAGCGUUGGACUUCUAAUCAACAUGUCGUGGGUUCG
rnacentral:tRNA from 1 species